GCAGUCUGCGUGGGGACACACCGGAUUAGAUACCCUGGUAGUCCACGCCCUAAACGAUGGAUACUCGACAUACGCGAUACACUGUGUGUGUCUGACCGAAAGCAUUAAGUAUCCCACCUGGGAAGUACGUCCGCAAGGAUGAAACUCAAAGGAAUUGACGGGCGUUAUCCGGAAUCACUGGGUUUAAAGGGUGCGUAGGCGGCCAUAUAAGUCAGAGGUGAAAGUUUCCCGCUCAACCGGGAAAUUGCCUUUGAAACUGUAUGGCUUGAAUCANAUUGAGGUUGGCGGAAUGUGACAUGUAGCGGUGAAAUGCAUAGAUAUGUCAUANAACAUCGCUUGCGAAGGCAACUGGCUGGAUCUGUAUUGACGCUGAGGCACGAAAGCGUGGGGAGCAAACAGGAUUAGAUACCCUGGUAGUCCACGCCCUAAACGAUGUUUACUCGACAUGGGACUUACGGGUUCUGUGUCCAAGCGAAAGCCUUAAGUAAACCACCUGGGGAGUACGUUCGCAAGAAUGAAACUCAAAGGAAUUGACGGUUGAC
rnacentral:rRNA from 1 species